rnacentral:rRNA from 1 species
GAUGAACGCUAGCGGCAGGCCUAAUACAUGCAAGUCGAACGGAUGACCUUCGGGUCAUUAGUGGCGCACGGGUGCGUAACGCGUAAGCAACCUACCUACUACUGGGGGAUAGCCCUGGGAAACCGGGAGUAAACCCGCAUGGUAUCACUGACCUUCCUGGGUUGAUGCUUAAAGAUUUAUUGGUAGUAGAUGGGCUUGCGUUGGAUUAGCUAGAUGGCGGGGUAACGGCCCACCAUGGCGAUGAUCCAGCGGGGCUCUGAGAGGACCGGCCACCACACGGGCACUGGGACACGGGCCAGACUCCUACGGGAGGCAGCAGUAGGGAAUAGUGGGGAAUGGACGAAAGUCUGACCCAGCCAUGCCGCGUGCAGGAUGAAGGCGCUCAGCGUUGUAAACUGCUUUUGAUAGGGAAGAACGGCCUUCUUGCGAGAAGGUGUGACGGUACCUACAGAAGAAGCACCUGCUAACUCCGUGCCAGCCGCCGCAGUAAAAC